rnacentral:rRNA from 1 species
UACGGAGGGUGCAAACGUUGCUCGGAAUCAUUGGGCAUAAAGCGCACGUAGGCGGCUUCUUAAGUCGGGUGUGAAAGCCCUCGGCUCAACCGAGGAAGUGCAUUCGAAACUGGGGGGCUUGAAUACUGGAGAGGAUGGCGGAAUUCCCGGUGUAGAGGUGAAAUUCGUAGAUAUCGGGAGGAACACCAGCGGCGAAGGCGGCCAUCUGGACAGAUAUUGACGCUGAGGUGCGAAAGCGUGGGGAGCAAACAGG